GACGAACGCUGGCGGCGUGCUUAACACAUGCAAGUCGAACGCUGAAGCUCAGCUUUUGUUGGGUGGAUGAGUGGCGAACGGGUGAGUAACACGUGAGUAACCUGCCUCCUUCUUUGGGAUAACGCCCGGAAACGGGUGCUAAUACUGGAUAUUCACUGGUCUUCGCAUGGGGGUUGGUGGAAAGGGUUUUUCUGGUGGGGGAUGGGCUCGCGGCCUAUCAGCUUGUUGGUGGGGUGAUGGCCUACCAAGGCUUUGACGGGUAGCCGGCCUGAGAGGGUGACCGGUCACAUUGGGACUGAGAUACGGCCCAGACUCCUACGGGAGGCAGCAGUGGGGAAUAUUGCACAAUGGGCGCAAGCCUGAUGCAGCGACGCCGCGUGAGGGAUGGAGGCCUUCGGGUUGUGAACCUCUUUCGCUCAUGGUCAAGCCGCAACAAUGGUUGUGGUGAGGGUAGUGGGUAAAGAAGCGCCGGCUAACUACGUGC
rnacentral:rRNA from 1 species